rnacentral:rRNA from 1 species
AACCAGGAAUGUAUAGCGAAAGCUAAUUGCAUUUAACUUAGCUUAAUUUGUUAAGCUAAGUUAGUGCAGGAUUGACUAAUAAAAUUCUGUCGAUAGAAUGUGGGUUAUGAUGACAUUUCCUAUCUACGUGUCUUGACCAAACUACGUGCCAGCAGUCGCGGUAACACGUUAAAGACUAGUGUUAUUCAUCUUAAAUAGGUUUAAAGCGUACCUAGACGGGAAAUCAAGCCCAUCUAAUUUUGUAGGGGACUAGAGUUUAAUAUGAGGGGGCAUUAAAGUACUGAUAAGUGUAGAGAUGAAAUUCUGUGAUACAAUAUACGGCACUGGUAAAGGCGAAGGCAUCUCCUUAUGUAAUAACUGACGUUGACUUUGUGGGACGAAGGGUAGCAAAAAGGAUUAGAUACCCAAGUAGUCUUAGCAGAAAAUUAUGAAUGUCAUAGGAUAGAUAGUUGUAUAUAUAUACAACGGUUUUUUUCUAUAAAUGAAAGUGUAAGCAUUCCACCUCAAGCAACAUGAGUAAUUUGUGGAACUGAAAUCAUUAGACCGUUUCUGAAACAAGUAGUGAAGUAUGUUGUUUACCGCAAAAAUUAGAUGGUAACCUUACCACAAUUUGAAUAGAAUUUAUUAUUCAUACAAGCGCUGCACGGUUGUCUUCAGUUAAUGUCGUGAGAUUGUGGUUAGCUCCAUUAAAUUAACGUAAACCCUAACUUUAUUUUUAGUUUACAUAGAGCCCCGCUAGAUUGGAUUAGAUAACAGGGACUAAGACAAGUCAUCAUGGCCUUAAUAUUGUCCC